AUGGCGCUGGAGCAGUCGCGGCGGCGCUGGAGCUGCCAUGCCACGACCGCACCCUCCUCCGCGCACGCUCCCCGCCACGCGUCGUCAACCCCGACUCUCUCUCCGUGUUCUUGUCCCUCAAGAACGACCCAAACAUACCCGUGCCGGAGCCAUCUGGGCCUGCCGUCAACGAGAAUUUUGUUCUUUCCAACGACCAGGUCGCGGCUCUGA
rnacentral:rRNA from 1 species